CGGGGGUGCCCCGCCCUUGCUGGGCCCGUUCCUGGCGGACUGUGGCGUACGGCGCCCUGCGCAUUACCCGUGUGAUGGGCUGCUCCGCACCCGGCCCUAGUGCCUGAGCCACCUCUGCGCGCCCACCCCUCGGCUUUCUGGGCCAAGCCACCAGCGCUGCCUACUGGAAACGGGUUUGGUUCUUAAAGCCCCAAUUUCUGGAGGCAUGUGAUUGUACAAGCAUCUGAGCUCUUUAUUAUUUUUCCUAGUUUGAUUUUCCCCCAUGCGUUUGGGUAUGGGUAGCUGAGUGUGCUUUCCCAGUUCUUUGAAUUAUUUUUGGUAGUUAUCGCUUUUCCCCUAAAGAUCAUUGUCUUUGCCUAGUUGAUCUGCACAGCCUAUGUUUUGAAUAACCAGGGAAUAGAUAAGCACUGCCUCGACUCCCAUCUUCAGCUGAGGACAGUUGAGAAAAAACUGAGGGGGGUGCAGGAUGUGCACGAUCAGGCAGACCCUAACAACAACGUGAGACAGCAGCUGAGCAAGUGCAUCCGACCUGGCACUGCUACCGAAGAUCUCUGAUCAAUGGCACCAGGACGUACCAUCACCUGGAGUGGAGCACCCACAGGGACAGCACUAAGAAGAGCCGCAAAAUCCCGUUGAUGGGGUUUGAAAGACUGACUCCUACAGAGCCCUUGUCAG